rnacentral:rRNA from 1 species
AGUGAACGCUGGCGGCAGGCCUAACACAUGCAAGUCGAACGGCAGCACAGUGGAGCUUGCUCCAUGGGUGGCGAGUGGCGGACGGGUGAGGAAUACAUCGGAAUCUGCCCAGUCGUGGGGGAUAACAUAGGGAAACUUAUGCUAAUACCGCAUACGACCUACGGGUGAAAGCGGGGGAUCGCAAGACCUCGCGCGAUUGGAUGAGCCGAUGUCCGAUUAGCUAGUUGGCGGGGUAAUGGCCCACCAAGGCGACGAUCGGUAGCUGGUCUGAGAGGAUGAUCAGCCACACUGGAACUGAGACACGGUCCAGACUCCUACGGGAGGCAGCAGUGGGGAAUAUUGGACAAUGGGCGCAAGCCUGAUCCAGCCAUGCCGCGUGGGUGAAGAAGGCCUUCGGGUUGUAAAGCCCCUUUGUCCGGAAAGAAAGGUCCCGGGUUAAUACCCUGGGGUGAUGACGGUACCGGAAGAAUAAGCACCGGCUAACUUCGUGCCAGCAGCAGCCGUAACAC